UCAAUACCCUUUUCCCCCCUUAGGCUAAUUUGAGUUGGGUCUCUAACUCUUGCCAUUAAAACAUCCUGGUCAAGACAUUGCUUAUCAUCUCACUGAUAAUCCCUACUUUAGCUUCUGUCUUUCCCCCGGUCCCUAUUCAAAUGGGGAAUGUGUCUUGCCUAUCCCUAAACCAUCAGAACUCCCAUUGACCCACAUCAAGGUUAUGAUUUCAUGCAUCUAUUGGGACUUUUAUUCUGUUACAGGGUUUUUCUACCUCACUGGAUCUUCAUGUGAAGUACUGAGGAAAAAAGAGCUAUUCAUAUUGAAUGCUGGGACUCAAACUCAUGUGUCCUGACUGGAAAUCCAGAAUUCUUUCAUAUUGUAUCACAUCCCCUGGGUAGAAACAUGGCUCUAAUGUAAACUUGCAAUGUUUUCUCCCAUAGGGACUUCCUUUCUCCAACACCUGUCAGCCCAAUGGGACACAGGCCUCAUUUUUGUUUCCAUAUCUCGUAGGUGAAAAUUGCCCUCCAUUUUCCAUCAUUUGCUUCCAUUCUCUCUAUGCGUACCAUUUACUGCAAGUCUCUGUUACUGUUAGAGAUUGCUUCUCAAGACCUUAUUCUAGCUUAACAGUAUGACUUCUGUUCCCAGUUAUAUGAUGACUUUGUCAUUGCUACUCAUCUUGGGCUCCUGCCACCAAUAUGCAAGACAUAGAUGAGGCUCUGGCCAUUUGAGGAGUAAACCAGCAGAUGGUAUCUCUCUGUCUCUCUCUUCUGCUUCUUCCUUUCUUUCUCUUUGUCUCCCUCUCUCUCUGCACUCUUCCUUUUAGAUAAAUCUUUAAAUAAAUAAACUUAGGAGUGCCUAGGUGAGUUACUCUGAUCAAUAAUAUAUGAACAGGACUGAUUGAUACUGCUUCAUUGCACAAGUUUUUGGAAGUACUGUCGUGAAAGUGCUGUUAUGAAUGAUAAAUCAUGUGUCAGGAUGAAGCCAUAAUCAUCCCGAGUGCUUGAAUGACAACAGUGGUGGAGCGUCCCUUGCUGAUUUCCACUGACAAGUAUGCCUGAGCCAGUAAACUAGCCUUGGCCAAGCAAUCCACAGCAAUCUAUGGCCAAGGAAUUGGUUGAGAAAAAGGCUUGUGACUCAGCCGGUAUACCAAGAUGAGAAGAAAGUUUGGGAUUUGAGAAAAGAAGUGUUCACACCUUUAAGAGAGCCAUCAGAAGAGAUGAAUUCUCUCUCUGGAUGUUGUGUGUAAAUGUGAAGCCUGUAACUACAAGCAGUCAUCUUACUCCCAGUCUAAGGAUUAAGCCAACACAGAGGGAGGGCCAAUACUAAAGGAAUCUCAAAGAAGUGAAGCCAACGCCAAGACUAAAUCAUAACCAAUCCUUCAUUAUUCUGUCUCUGGGCUUUUUCUGUUAGGAACUUGUCGAGGUACUCCAAUGUAGGCUGUGACUAAAUUGAGGAUCCUAAAGGCAUACUACUAACAAUAAAGGCUAUGAAGGAAAGGUAUCAUUAUUGCCUGGAGGUUGGGAGCAAAAGCUUUCAGAGAAAGUCGGAUUUGGUGUUAUUAAAAAAAAAAAAACAAGAAUCAGAAUUGAAUGAGCAUGACAGACAGGGGAGCUAUAUCCCUUAAAGGUAAGGCAACAGCAGAAGCAAUAGCAGGUUGUUGAGAGGGAACAUGGUGCAUGAAAGAGCAUUCAGUACAUUCAAUCAAGGUGCCCAGUAACUGUUACAUCCUCUGUUUCAUUUUUCUCAUCAUCAGAGA